AUCCACAGAUGGGAAUCGAACCCAUAGUGUUCCACUUACCGGGCAGAUGCCAUGACCACUAGGCUACUUUUGUUGA
rnacentral:tRNA from 1 species